rnacentral:rRNA from 1 species
GACGAACGCUGGCGGCGUGCCUAAAACAUGCAAGUCGAACGGUUCCAGCAAUGGGACAGUGGCGAACGGCGGAGUAAUACGCGAGCAACGUGCCCCGAAGACUGGGAUAGUCGGCCGAAAGGCCGGGUAAUACCGGAUGUGGCGUUUAGAUCGCCUGAUCUUAACGUUAAAAGGUUUUUCGCUUCGGGAGCGGCUCACGGCCUAUCAGGUAGUUGGUGGGGUAACGGCCUACCAAGCCUACGACGGGUAGCGGGUCGUGAGAGGAUGGUCCGCUCGAGUGGGACUGAGACACGGCCCACACACCUACGGGUGGCAGCAGUUGGGAAUCUUGCACAAUGGGGGCAACCCUGAUGCAGCGACGCCGCGUGGAGGAUGACGGGUCUAGGCCUGUAAACUCCUUUUCCCCGGAAAGACUUAGGACGGUACCGGGGGAAUAAGCACCGGCUAACUACGUGCCAGCAGCCGCCGCAGUAAU